CACGUUGGAACCUGCCCAAAGUGAGGAAUAAGCCACCGAAAGGUGGUCUAAUACUUCAUAAUAUCCAUCUCGUAUGGAUUAAAGCUUUAUGCGCUUUGGGAGGGGCCUGCGUAACAUUAGCUAGUUGGUGAGGUAAAAGCUCACCAAGGCUUCGAUGUUUAACUGGUUUGAGAGGAUGACCAGUCACACUGGGACUGAGAUACGGCCCAGACUCCUACGGGAGGCAGCAGUAAGGAAUCUUCCACAAUGGGGGCAACCCUGAUGGAGCAAUACCGCGUGCAGGAUGAAGCGUUUCGGCGUGUAAACUGCUUUUAUCACCGAAGAUUAUGACUGUAGGUGAAGAAUAAGGACCGGCUAACUACGUG
rnacentral:rRNA from 1 species